UUUUAUUAUCGUUAUUACUAUCAUUAUUACUGUUAUUUUUAUUUGCAGGUUUUGAGGGAACACAAUAUGGAAACUCUGUGGGUUUUCAUCAUAGUCGCACUCAGUAUAUCUUUGGAUGAAUGUCUUAACCCGAAAAUGGAUAUCGCCCUUGUCGGUGAUAUAUCAAAGCGCAUGGAAAAGAGCCACCAUAAUAAGUUGGUCGACCUGGUGAAGUCGUUGGUGAAUAAGCUGGGCGUCUCUGCUGAAGGAAAUCAUUAUGCAAUUGUCACUUUUGGAGGAUGGGCCUCUAUCAAGACUUACUUUAAUGACAAAAAAAAUGCUACAAUGCCAAAACCUUAAAGGAAACCGUCAGCAAGGAUUUCAAACGUGUUCCAGGCAAAGCGGGAACACCGUGACAGAUCUUGUACUGCGAGCGGCCUCAAAGAAAUCGUUCAUCCCACCGGGAGGAGACAGGCUUGAUGCUCAAAACCUUAUGCUGAUCUUCACUGACGGACAGCCCUGGAUUGGCAAGUGGGAUGACAGAAAGAUGGUUCCUUUUAGGGAAACCACAAAAGCUUUGGAGCUGUUGACGGAGGAUACACUGAAUGGUCUGAGUCGAAGUGCAGUGUGAAGUGUGCAGUGUGAAGUGUGCAGUGUGAAGUGUGCAGUGUGAAGUGUGCAGUGU